rnacentral:tRNA from 1 species
GGGGAUGUCGUUCAAUGGUAGGACUCUGGUCUCCAAAACCAGGUAUCCAGGUCCGAAUCCUGGCGUCCCCGCCU